AGUGAACGCUGGCGGUAGGCCUAACACAUGCAAGUCGAACGGCAGCACAGUAAGAGCUUGCUCUUACGGGUGGCGAGUGGCGGACGGGUGAGGAAUACAUCGGAAUCUACUUUUUCGUGGGGGAUAACGUAGGGAAACUUACGCUAAUACCGCAUACGACCUACGGGUGAAAGCAGGGGAUCUUCGGACCUUGCGCGAUUGAAUGAGCCGAUGUCGGACUAGCUAGUUGGCGGGGUAAAGGCCCACCAAGGCGACGAUCCGUAGCUGGUCUGAGAGGAUGAUCAGCCACACUGGAACUGAGACACGGUCCAGACUCCUACGGGAGGCAGCAGUGGGGAAUAUUGGACAAUGGGCGCAAGCCUGAUCCAGCCAUGCCGCGUGGGUGAAGAAGGCCUUCGGGUUGUAAAGCCCUUUUGUUGGGAAAGAAAAGCAGCAGGUUAAUACCCCGCUGUUCUGACGGUACCCAAAGAAUAAGCACCGGCUAACUUCGUG
rnacentral:rRNA from 1 species